GGAUGAGCAGCGAACGGGUGAGUAACGCGUGGGGAAUCUGCCUUUGAGCGGGGGACAACAUUUGGAAACGAAUGCUAAUACCGCAUAACAACUUUAAACACAAGUUUUAAGUUUGAAAGAUGCAAUUGCAUCACUCAAAGAUGAUCCCGCGUUGUAUUAGCUAGUUGGUGAGGUAAAGGCUCACCAAGGCGAUGAUACAUAGCCGACCUGAGAGGGUGAUCGGCCACAUUGGGACUGAGACACGGCCCAAACUCCUACGGGAGGCAGCAGUAGGGAAUCUUCGGCAAUGGACGAAAGUCUGACCGAGCAACGCCGCGUGAGUGAAGAAGGUUUUCGGAUCGUAAAACUCUGUUGGUAGAGAAGAACGUUGGUGAGAGUGGAAAGCUCAUCAAGUGACGGUAACUACCCAGAAAGGGACGGCUAACUACGUGCCAGCAGCCGCGGU
rnacentral:rRNA from 1 species